CCUACCUUUAACUGGAAGAUAGCCCGAAGAAAUUCGGAUUAAUACUCCAUAACACUAUAGUCUGGCAUCAUUUUAUAGUUAAAGCUCCGGCGGUUAAAGAUGGGCAUGCGUAACAUUAGCUUGUUGGUGAGGUAACGGCUCACCAAGGCUACGAUGUUUAGGGGGUCUGAGAGGAUGGUCCCCCACACUGGUACUGAGACACGGACCAGACUCCUACGGGAGGCAGCAGUGAGGAAUAUUGGUCAAUGGGCGAAAGCCUGAACCAGCCAUGCCGCGUGAAGGAUGACGGCGCUAUGCGUUGUAAACUUCUUUUAUACGGGAAGAAACCGUCCUACGUGUAGGGCGUUGACGGUACCGUACGAAUAAGCAUCGGCUAACUCCGUGCCAGCAGCCGCGGUAAUACGGAGGAUGCAAGCGUUAUCCGGAUUUAUUGGGUUUAAAGGGUGCGUAGGCGGAAAAUUAAGUCAGUGGUGAAAUCCUGCGGCUCAACCGUAGAACUGUCAUUGAUACUGAUUUUCUUGAAUACAGUUGAGGUAGGCGGAAUGUGUAAUGUAGCGGUGAAAUGCUUAGAUAUUACACAGAACACCGAUUGCGAAGGCAGCUUACUAAACUGUGAUUGACGCUGAGGCACGAAAGCGUGGGGAGCGAACAGGAUUAGAUACCCUGGUAGUCCACGCCGUAAACGAUGAUCACUCGUUGUUGGCAAUACAUCGUCAGCGACUGAGCGAAAGCAUUAAGUGAUCCACCUGGGGAGUACGAUCGCAAGAUUGAAACUCAAAGGAAUUGACGGGGGCCCGCACAAGCGGAGGAACAUGUGGUUUAAUUCGAUGAUACGCGAGGAACCUUACCUGGGCUUAAAUGUAGAACGACGGACCGGGAAACUGGUCUUUCUUCGGACGUUCUGCAAGGUGCUGCAUGGCUGUCGUCAGCUCGUGCCGUGAGGUGUCGGGUUAAGUCCCAUAACGAGCGCAACCCUCAUCAUUAGUUGCCAGCGGGUAAUGCCGGGGACUCUAAUGAAACUGCCGGUGUAAACCGAGAGGAAGGUGGGGAUGACGUCAAGUCAGCACGGCCCUUAUGUCCAGGGCUACACACGUGUUACAAUGGUCAGUACAAAGGGCAGCUACCAUGCG
rnacentral:rRNA from 1 species